rnacentral:misc_RNA from 1 species
UUGAAUGUACUUGCAAGUUGGUUGUAGCUGGCUUUUCGAAGUAAUGUGCUCGCCGCUUGUCUCUACUAUUUUUCCACCUGUGAACCUUUGUAGAUCAUGAAUGAACUCUCGCCUGAGAAUGGCGGUUUGAGGGACUUGUCCCUUGAUAGUUCGUGGUCUAUGUUUAUAUCUACCCCAUGUUUGUCUUUGAAUGUCUUUUAAAUGGUCUUUGACCUUUAAAUACUAUA